rnacentral:rRNA from 1 species
GGGCUUAAAGUCUUGUAAUUGGAAUGAUGGGAAUUUAAACCUCUUCCAGAGUAUCAAUUGGAGGGCAAGUCUGGUGCCAGCAGCCGCGGUAAUUCCAGCUCCAAUAGCGUAUAUUAAAAUUGUUGCAGUUAAAAAGCUCGUAGUUGAAUUUCUGCUGCAUUGCUUGUGUCCCUCUGGGGUCUGUGCAUGUGGCUUUUUUCGGACGGAGUUUCUUUGUCUGAAUGUUUACUUUGAGAAAAUUAGAGUGCUCAAAGCAGGCUUUCGCCUUGAAUAGUUUAGCAUGGAAUAAUAAAGUAGGACUUUGGUUCUAUUUUGUUGGUUUUAGGUACCAAAGUAAUGGUUAAUAGGAACAGUUGGGGGCAUUCGUAUUUAACUGUCAGAGGUGAAAUUCUUAGAUUUGUUAAAGACGAACUACUGCGAAAGCAUUUGCCAAGGA